rnacentral:rRNA from 1 species
UACGAAGGGGGCUAGCGUUGCUCGGAAUCACUGGGCGUAAAGGGCGCGUAGGCGGCGCGGUUAGUCGGCGGUGAAAGCCCGAGGCUCAACUUCGGGUCGGCCGUCGAUACUGCUGCGCUGGAGCACUGUAGAGGCAGAUGGAAUUCCGGGUGUAGCGGUGGAAUGCGUAGAGAUCCGGAAGAACACCGGUGGCGAAGGCGGUCUGCUGGGCAGUUGCUGACGCUGAUGCGCGACAGCGUGGGGAGCAAACAGG